AUUGAACGCUGGCGGCAGGCCUAACACAUGCAAGUCGAACGAGCGGCGCACAGGUGAGGAAUGUCUGGGAAACAGUCGGAUGGGGGGGGAUAACUACUGGAAAAGGUAGCUAAUACCGCGCAACAUCAGAUGUGCCCUGAUGGGAUUAGCGAGUAGAUGGGGUAACGACUCACCUAGGCGACGAUCCCUAGCUGGUCUGAGAGGAUGACCAGACACACGGGGACUGAGACAGUGUCCAGACUCCUACGGGAGGCAGCAGUGGGGAAUAUUGCACAAUGGGCGCAAGCCUGAUGCAGCCAUGCCGCGUGUGUGAAGAAGGCCUUCGGGUUGUAAAGCACUGUCAGCGGGGAGGCGUUACCCGCAGAAGAAGCACCGGCUAACUCCGUGCCAGCAGCCGCGGUAAUUC
rnacentral:rRNA from 1 species